GUGGGGAAUCUUCCGCAAUGGACGAAAGUCUGAUGGAGCAACGCCGCGUGAGUGAAGAAGGGUUUCGGCUCGUAAAGCUCUGUUGUCGGGGACGAAUGUGCAGUAUUUGAAUAAAGUAGUGCAAUGACGGUACCUGACGAGGAAGCCACGGCUAACUACGUGCCAGCAGCCGCGGUAAUACGUAGGUGGCAAGCGUUGUCCGGAAUUAUUGGGCGGAAAGGGAGCGCAGGCGGGAAGGUAAGUCGGUCUUAAAAGUGCGGGGCUCAACCCCGUGAUGGGAUCGAAACUAUCUUUCUUGAGUGCAGGAGAGGAAAGUGGAAUUCCUAGUGUAGCGGUGAAAUGCGUAGAUAUUAGGAGGAACACCAGUGGCGAAGGCGACUUUCUGGACUGUAACUGACGCUGAGGCUCGAAAGCCAGGGGAGCGAACGGGAUUAGAAACCCGAGUAGUCC
rnacentral:rRNA from 1 species